UACGGGGGGAGCAAGCGUUGUUCGGAUUUACUGGGCGUAAAGGGCGCGUAGGCGGCGCAACAAGUCACUUGUGAAAUCUCCGGGCUUAACCCGGAGCGGCCAAGUGAUACUGUCGUGCUAGAGUGCGGAAGGGGCUACUGGAAUUCUCGGUGUAGCGGUGAAAUGCGUAGAUAUCGAGAGGAACACCUGCGGCGAAAGCGGCGCACUGGACCACAACUGACGCUGAGGCGCGAAAGCGUGGGGAGCGAACAGG
rnacentral:rRNA from 1 species